GUCUCCUGGAAACGGGUGGUAAUGCCGGAUGCUCCAGCAGGACGCAUGUCGUUUCGGGAAAGAUUCUAUCGGUAUGGGAUGGGGUCGCGUCCUAUCAGCUUGAUGGCGGGGUAACGGCCCACCAUGGCUUCGACGGGUAGCCGGCCUGAGAGGGCGACCGGCCACAUUGGGACUGAGAUACGGCCCAGACUCCUACGGGAGGCAGCAGUGGGGAAUAUUGCACAAUGGGCGCAAGCCUGAUGCAGCGACGCCGCGUGCGGGAUGACGGCCUUCGGGUUGUAAACCGCUUUUGACUGGGAGCAAGCCCUUCGGGGUGAGUGUACCUUUCGAAUAAGCACCGGCUAACUACGUGCCAGCAGCCGCGGUAAUACGUAGGGUGCAAGCGUUAUCCGGAAUUAUUGGGCGUAAAGGGCUCGUAGGCGGUUCGUCGCGUCCGGUGUGAAAGUCCAUCGCUUAACGGUGGAUCCGCGCCGGGUACGGGCGGGCUUGAGUGCGGUAGGGGAGACUGGAAUUCCCGGUGUAACGGUGGAAUGUGUAGAUAUCGAGAAGAACACCACCU
rnacentral:rRNA from 1 species